rnacentral:lncRNA from 1 species
UGUGAUAGAUGGGUGGCGUCAUCUCUUCCAUCAGCUUCCGGCCACCAGCGGGCGGCGUCGUGGGUCGUGGACAUCACGCCUUCGCCUCUAGGAUCCAGCCUCUCGUGCUCCUCUACUGGAGACGAGACGAGCGGCGAGACGAGCGGACGACCCCACCGUGUGUAUGCAUCUAAUCUGUUAUAGGGACAGAGAAGGAAUUCAAGAUCAACCUGUACCGCCGAAGACAAAGAGAGGAGCCAUGGCCCUCUUCCGCCUUGCUUGAUGUGCUCGCCAGCUUGACGUCAACUCCAGCGCGGUCGUCGACCUUGCUGCAACAACGGACGAUGGAGCUUGCCAAUGAUGAUCACGGGGCGUUGCCGGGCUGAUGUAGACUCUGGUCUUGUAGGAGUUCGAUGGAUGAGAGGAUGCGUCUUCUUUGUCCCUUCUCCUGGCAGCGCCUCGAUGGGAAGAGCUGCGGCUCUUUCUUCUCCUAGCC